rnacentral:rRNA from 1 species
UACAGAGGUGGCAAGCGUUGUUCGGAAUUACUGGGCGUAAAGGGCGAGUAGGUGGCCAUCUAAGUCAGACGUGAAAUCCCCCGGCUUAACCUGGGAACUGCGUCUGAUACUGGACGGCUUGAGUAUGGGAGAGGGAUGUAGAAUUCCAGGUGUAGCGGUGAAAUGCGUAGAUAUCUGGAGGAAUACCGGUGGCGAAGGCGGCAUCCUGGACCAUUACUGACGCUGAGGCGCGAAAGCUAGGGGAGCAAACGGG